ensembl:lncRNA
CUCCACCCCUCCUUCCUUCCCUCUCUCCACUUGUCCCACUGUUCUCCUUUCCCCCCUCACUCUGGAAGUGGGGCCCUUUUCGCCAUUCAGUUCAUACAUACAAAUGACGUGACAGCAGUAUCCUCCAGGCAGUAUGGUGAAGGAAGGAUCUUUUCUUUCUCGCAAGUCAGCCCAGGGGUCUUUACGAUCUGCACGGACACACACUCCAUCACAUUCAAACAAUCACUCACACACACACACAUAAGACCAGGAUCCCGGUUGCAUUUGUGAAGACUCAAGUAGGGCCGAACCAUUUGUGGAAAGUAACUCAUUUGAUUGCAAUCUAAUUUGAAUAUCACAAUAUUAACUGCUCUAUAUUCUAAUGUAAGGAUGAGAACUUAAAAGAUAUGUAUAGUUUCAAACAUGUAUUUAUUACAUUUAUGUAAUUGACAAAUAACAUAUAACAAUAAAUCACAAAAGCUGUAACCUAAGUUAAAUAAAGUAAAAAUAAUAAAAAUACAUAAAUAUUAAAUCUAAAUAUAAAAAUCUAAUAUUGAUAAAAAUCUAAAUAUUGCACAAUCUGCAAUCUUAACUAAAUAUAAUAAUAGAAACAGGCCAAGACAAGGGCAGCCGUACAUAAGUGAUUGGACACCAUCAACAGGCCCACUGCAUAGGCUGGGAAUUACCAUGGAUAUAGGAUUCCAUGUAAUUAAUGCUAAAUCACACAGAGUGAACCACAAACAGUUGAUUCUAAGUGGCUGCAAAUCUCUUAAACUCCCUGAGUUAUGUGACAAGUGCCUUCUACUCAAAGUUGAUAGUGAGGUUCUCUUACACAGUCUGACGUAUAACAGUAAUAACAUACACUGCUGUGGAGAUACCAUUUCCCCGUCUCUUUCAGGAGAGUGGCAGCUGAGGAAAACAAAGAAACAAACUGAUAUACUACUCAAGUUUAACUAGUAAGCGAUCUGUUGACUGACAAUCUUAAGGCAUAAGGUAACAGUUGGCUAAUUAUUCCAUCAGUGUCAGGGCUGGAGACAUAAUCCCUGAGGGCUAAAGCUGCUCUCUCAAACAUGCCACACAGCCUCCUGAUCUACAUAUCAAUCUGAAGUCCCUACCAACUGUGAAUGGAUUCAUUUCUAUGAGUUUAAGGGGGUCUGCAUGAGAGUGACAGCCAAUUAUACUUGGCUGUGGCCUUGAAAGGACAGAGGCAGCCACAUCAGCUCAGGUCACAACAAGGCUUUUGUGCAUAAACCCCACAGCGUUGUUCCGACCACCUUAUGACAGUGCCUCUGAUACACAAAAAGACACAUUUUGAAACACUGAAAGAAAGACAUCGAAAGGUUGGGGGGUGGGGUAGAGAGAGAGAGACCCUAAACCUAACGGUCCUAAAAUGACCACAGGCAUGUUUGACCCUUGUGAAAAAUCGUCACAUCACCUAUGCUCAGUCAAACCCUAUAAAUAUUCAUCUCAUGUUCACUUGUCAGAUACACCAAUAGCUAAUUUAACGGACUGCCCUUUUUCGCUUAGUUUCUUUGCUCGUGUGAAUUGCAAAAUGCCUACUGCAUGAUGUCUGAACUUAGUAACUGAGUAAAGCGUUUCUUGUAGUUUAAAACCAAUGGAUUUUAUUUUACAUAUUGAACAUAUGUGGGUAAUCAUGUUUCACAUUCACCCUUCAACACCGCAUCGUCCAUCGAGACAGUUACCUUGACGGCAAUAGUAUCGUCCUAUUGCCAUAGUGUGCCAAGUACACUAUGUACUUGAGUGAGGAGGGAGAAAGAAUGUGUGUGUGUGUGUGUGUGUGUGUGUGUGUGUAUUCAUUUAUCACGCAAGCCCAUUGCUGUGCUGAUGUGUUCCAGAUGUGUAGUGGCAGUGCAGGGUUGGAUGUUUGUGUGCUGACUCCAUGGGAACUGGACUGCCGGUGUUCUCAUAAGCAGUGAGGCCGAGGCCAAGUGCAUGGGUCCACCUCUGUUCACCUCUGGGACCCAACAGCACUGCGCUCCCUUUGUCUGACCAACGCCUCUUCCUUCAGUUACAGAGAGGAGGUCGUGUCUGUCUGUCCGUCAUGUUUGAGGCUGACUUCAACAACACUUCAACUCUCAGUCAGACCAACACAUUUCACAACCCCACCUGCAUAUCAAUAUACAAACACAAGGGCACACACCCCUACACGCAUGCACACAGAUUACACACACACACAC